AUCUAUCUAUCUAUCUAUCUAUCUAUCUAUCUAUCUAUCAUCUAUCUACCUACCUUUUUAUCUGUCUCUUGUUAUUAAAGAGGGUCUCACACAGCCUAGGUUGGCCUUGAACUCACUAUAUUGAGGAUGAACUUGAACUCAUGACUCAUGAUCCUCCUGCCUCCACUUCCUGAGAGUUUAAAUUAGAGAUGUGUAGUGUGUAUAAAGCUGUAGGUUGUGUGCUUUCCCCCAAACAAAGCUUUAGAAUAUUCUCACAAGAUUCUGCUGCAUUCAUGGGCAAGCCUGGCCUCUAUUUCUGGGCCAGGUUGCUGAGUGUGUGACAUCCCAGAUGGCCAUUUGCUUGAGGCAUUAGACUGAAUCAGGAAUGACUGCAAUGGUGUUCCAGUGAGCUUGGUUAGUGGCCAAGCUCAGGAUACAGAAAAGUCUGCCUGAUCUCUGUCUCGUGUGGAUGGUCAGCUGUCAAAAUGUCUCUGCUCUGAGUGUCAUUCUUGGCUUCACUUAGAAUCUUCGAUCCUGGAGAAACUAGUCAAUAAGAGUUCAAACUCCAGGAUGUCUGUGGUAGACUCUCCUUGUUUUCUAGUUAGGAAAAGAAGCUAGCAAAUGGGAAGGCCAUAAGCCAUCAGCAAAGAUGGGAAGGCCAUAAACUGUCAGCAAAGAUGGGAAGGCCAUAAGCCAAGUCAGCAAAGAUGGGAAGGCCAUAAGCCAUCAGCAAAGAUGGGAAGGCCAUAAGCCAUCAGCAAAGACAAGUGUGUUUGCAGUCCGUGGUUUGGUGUUCAGCCUUGCUUGCUGUGGCUAAUUGUUCCGUAAGUUUUUCUCUUCUAGAGCAGAAGCCUCAGUCAUGAUAGGGCUCUUGUUUUACCUGCUUGAGGCUGGACCUGUUAGUACCUGUUCCUGUGAUGGAUGCACUUUCAAGUUCUUAAUAAAUCAGAUGGGUCCUGCCUUGCUGCAUAAGUGCAGGGGUCUCAAAAAUGAGCUCCAGAUCUCCCAGGUGUGGGUUUCCAUUGGGGGAAAAAAACUAGCUCUGAUAACUCAGUUGUUUGCUUGCCUAGCAUGCGUGAAUCCUGACUUUGACCUGUUCCCACCACAUAAACUAGAAUCAGUGGUCCAUGCCUUAAUCCCAACACUUAGGACAUGGAGACAGGAUGAUUAGGAGUUCAAGGUUAUCUUUACCUACAUAGUCUGAGACCAGGCUAUGCUAUGAAGUCCUAGAAAGAAAAGAAGGAAGGAAGGAGAAAUCAAGGGCUCAUCUCAGUUAUCCUUUGGAGGGGCAUCCCUAGGAAGCAGAAAAUCACAUAUUGACACAGUAUCUUGUAUGUGCCUGCAGGCCUUAGUGUAUGCUGCAGUCUCUCAUCUCCUAGCUUGGUGCUGCCUCAGUGUCUGCUCCGCUUCUGAGCUUUCCGAAUAUUUUAUGCUUCACAGCACUGGGAAGCAGCACCACAAUGUCCUUCUCUUCAGAACUGUGUCACCCCUGACAAGCCUGUGAGGCCAACAGCCUGACCUCCAUGGCCUCUUGUCUGUAGACCACGAUUGAAUAAAUAUUCAGUCUUCUGAGUGGCACCCUAGACAUUGUGAAAGAGGUGACACACUCCUGGCCUUGGGACACCUCAUGAACUUACAGAAGAGAGACAGAACCAGUGCAUUAAAAAAUGUGAAAAACACAUUAAAACUCUAAGGUUAGAUGGACUUAGAUAAUAUUUAUAAAUCCACUUAACAUGGCUCAGAAACCCUCAUUUAUGUAUUCACAUGUAUCUAUGUCAAGUGUUUUGAAAUGAUGAAAGAGAUCACAGUUAAACUAACCCAGCUUUCCCCUGUAACAGUUUUCUCCCCCGCCCCAAGAUGCCUCUGAGACAGGUUUGAGAGCAAGCACUGUGUUUCAAUAGCUUCAAAUGGCUCGAGGGAGCAGAGGGAAGGAAGGUAGUCAGGCUGAGGAGAUGGUACAGUCAGUAUAGGGCUUGCUGUGCAAGCAUGAAGACCCUCAUCAAAGACUUGGAUAUUCCUGGCCUUGUACGCCCAGAAAAGGCAGUCUCUGGAGAAAAGCCUCUUGGAAUGAGGUGCUGCCAUUAGCCAUUGGAGGUAUGCCUUGACAGGACCAGAGGGAGCUGGGUAAAGGGCCACCAGUCUCUGCUGCAUCUUUAUCUGUCGAUGAGAAUGCUGGUCUGGAAAGUAUAGGAGUAGAUUUGAGUUUUAAGGAAACAGGUGUCUGUAACUGAAGCCAGGGACAGAGUGGGAUGUGAAGAUUCAGGCUCUGGUAACUUCCUUAAGUUUGGAUGCCCAGUUAGCCACUAGACAUCCAUCAGAUUUUGCUACUUUUCCUGGGGAGGUAUUAAAUGGCUGGUCACCAGGGACAGAACAAGUAAGUGACUCUACUCGAGAUGACUUGUCCCAGUGAGUUUAGUAAGGCCAUUUGCAAGAACAUGAGUAAAGAAUUCUAUCUAAGAUCAUAGACAACCUGAGGGUGACUAUACUAUUGAAAAGCCUACCCAGCAUGGGUGAGGGCUGUGUUUCUGGAGCUCUGUGCUCAACUGCAGAGGCCCCUCUCUCCAGCAACCCUUUACUACUUUUACAACCUGGGAAAGGGGUUUUGUGAAUCUUGUAACUUUAUGGGCUUCCUGAACCUUGGAAGUUUCUUUGGCUUUCUGAGUUUUAUGAGCUAGCUUCCUCUUCCACCCCGAGGAAAGUUCAACUUGUACAAAACGGAUUCAUAACAUAGGUCUAGAUAGUAUUCCACAGUGGGUGGACAAAAGAGUCUGUGGCAGGAGUCACUUCAGAAAAAUGAGAUCUCUGCGUGGUCAGAGAAGGCAUGGGUUAACAGGACAUAGCCUUCCUCCAAGUCAAGUAAAUUAAAGAGGCAGGUAAGGACCCAAGUAUUAGAGGUGUUGUCUUGUGUCUCCUACUGUCUGUAGAAGAGGAGACUGUUGGUAUUGGCAGAGUUGAGUGGGAGUGGUUGGUGCGUCUAACAGGUAUGGAUUAUGAUAUCCUCUCAUGUUGUGCCAGAUGUAUCAUCUCUAGAGAGCUGGAACAAUGGGAAAUUGAAGACUCAAAGGCUCUUUAUCAUUGGAUACCAUGAUGUUGUUGAUGAUCUCUACAGAAGGCCUGGGUCCUAGGCUCUAGCAAAUGCCUCCUGCAAGAACUGAUGUGUGAGUUUUAGCUGUGGUUCAUGUGUUUCAUCUGACUGUCAGUUGCCCUGGUGGAUGUGCCUAGGAAUUUCCUUGAGAACACAGUUCAAGCAUCAAUUACCCAUUAUAUCAAAACACUGGAUCUAAGAUGGAUGUGGUGUUGUACAUCUGUAAUCCCUGCAUUCAAGAUGCUGAGGAGGAAGGAUCCAGGGUCAGCCUAGACCACUGUCUCAAAAACAACAAAGCAAGCUUAUGUAUACUAUUAUUUUCCCUAAUCCUGUAUUUUAGGUUCAAAGUAGAGAUCCAGAAAAGAGUUGUCAGGAUGUGCUAAUGAUGUGAGAGAUUUAAUGGGGGAGAAAAUGUAAAGCAAACAUAUGAUGCUUGUGUUUCCAUAUACUCAGUGACAUAGCUGUUUAUGGAAGAAGGAGGGAGAGAUGAAUCAGGCUGGUCCAGCCAGGACGCAGCAGCUGCACUAGUUACUUGAAUGGGAGGAGUGAACAUAGAAUUGGAACUGUUAAGACAUUCAAAUGGAUGCUGAGAUGCAGGAGACAGGUGAACCACAAAAGCAACACCAGUAAGACUUGGAGAGGGCAGUCAGAAAAGGAAUUAAAAUGUGAAAUGUUGGAAGAUGAACUCGAAGAUGAGGAAUGCAGACCUCAUAGGGAGGGGUCUGGACAGGUUUCUGCAAUAGCAUUUGAAAAAGCAAUAGACAGGAGGGCUCUAGAGAGUUAGAAAUAAAACAAAACAGCAAAACAAGGUUCAUGGUUUCAAGACUGCCUUUAGUCAACUGAGAACCAACUUCAGUUGAGCAGGAAAGACUGGAGCCUUGCUAGCAUCUUCAAGGCAUCCCUCCCACCAAGCCUCACUAAAUCUUCAGAGUAGAAAAUUACUAAUGGCCAAGCUUGCCUGUCACCUGCAGAUCAGGGUCACACCCCAUAAGCUUUAAAAUAGACAGGACAUAAGGCAUAGAGUGGAGCCUGUGCAAGGUCUCUGAUAAGACACAAACCAAUGUACACAGCAGAUGGAAUGUAAGACCCCAGAUGAUGGGCGACCUUGGACCCUUCUGAUUGUUCAGCCAAUAAGGAAGGGAAGAAGGUACCUUCAUUCAGGGCCAGCCUGGCCUGGCCUUCUUGGUGAGCUCCAGGUCACGAGGUGGAGAGCAUCCCUGGUGAUCGGGUAGGGUUGUCUUCUGACUUCCAUGGGCAUGUGGACACAUGCUGUGUGCACACCUUCACUCACAUAUGUACCUGUGCACAUGAAUAUAUGCACAUGUAUGCAGAUAGGCAUUUUAAAAAGUGCACUAAAACUGUGAUAGGUCAUUGGGAUUAAAAUAAAAGAAGGUGGUACCUUUGAUCACAUGCUCACUCCAUGACAUUCAUUUAGAGUCCAGUGAAAGGUUUCUGAUCCAAUUGUUUAUAUUCUUUUUUCUCUUUCUCCUGCUUGCUCAUGAAACAUUAGAGUAAGGAAUUUAUGUAUGUUAUAUCUCCAUGUGAUACAGCUUCACUUUGCAUUAUGCAGGGUGUAUGAGAAGUGCUCAGUCUCACAUGCUGUGUUACAUGAUACCCACAGUGACCUGAGGGAUAUUUUCAUGUCUCUUUACCAGAAAAGAGGAAAGUGUGCAGGAAGAUUCACAGAUGUGCUGAGGUGAGGUGCUUGGUUAUGAACUCCACUCUCUCCUUUGCCUAAAUCUUCAGCCAUGACUUCCUAUCUAGGGAGAAUCAUGUCAUUUCUAAGAGUAAAACUGUCACCCGAGUGACAGACUAAGACUGCGACAUGAUAGCCAAUAGAUCAGUGUGAUUACUUUAACUCAAAUAAAAUUUCAAAAUCUAUUCCUUAGUCAGGGCUGCUGCAUUUUGAGAGCUCCAUGGCUACAGGUGACUAGUGACCACUCCACCAGACAGCAGAGGAUAUUUCUGUCAUCAUAAAGAGUUCUGCAGGAGCCUAUCAGUUUGGUGUGCUAUUGGCAGCUGCUUUUGUGUGGACGAGUUUCCAUGGAUGCUUUGAUCUCUGUGCAUCUGGGUAGUGUUUCAAUUUCAGACCCCAGCCUGGGUACUUCAUCUUGUGCCAACUACCCUGUAUUCUAGGGACAUGGGUCUAUGAAAGCACAAAAUGGGAGUUCUGGACUGUCCAUGGCUUGAGGCAGGGGGAAGAGGGUCAUGGGUAGAGCCAUGUGUGUCUUGUGUCUCUCACCCUCUAGUUUGGUGCUCUUCUGGUCAGGUGGGAAGCCCAGCUGGAAUAGAAACUGCUUCCAUGUUCUAUGUGGUCCUCAGAGCCAACAAGCUGCAUUAGAUUGAAUCAAGGAAUGGACUGCAGGCUAGAUGGAAUCUGCUUAGGGCUUUGGAAGCUUGGGAGAAGCUGAAUAGUGAGGUGACUUCAGCAUGGAGUCUGCUAAAGAGAAGCCCAGGAGGUUGAUGACCCCUGAGCCCAUCUGCCCAGCCUUUCCCUGAUGGCUACCCCAGGACAAGGGGCCCACAGAGAACCUCUUGUUAAUUUCCAACUGCAUUUUGCUCUGUUGUGUAGUAUUUUGGUGACAGAAUCCACUCAGGAGAGUUGGGGCAAGGCUGGCCAAGGUUAUCAAGGAGCUGAGUUCUGAGAUCAGGUGCCCACAUGGCAGUGGAAUGAUGCGUCCUAUCCCUUCAGACCUUUGAGACGUCUGGGAGGUCCUAGAAAUCACUUCAAGUCUCCGGUCCAGGACACAACUGCCUAGGGGAAUCCCAGGGAAAGGCGGCAGAUAUUGCGUGGCCUGCAAGGUGAAGGACUCCAAUGUGAUCACUGCAGAAUCCACCAAAUUCCAAACCACUAGCAGUUUGAGUGCACAAACCCCCUUCUGGAGAGGAAGCAAGAGAAGCAAGCUGGGAGGAGGUCCAUUGCUUGGCUGGCGAGGUGGUGGAUCACCUUCUCAGGUUUUCUGGAAGUUGCUGAAACAUGGUGAGGAAGAUGUCAUCACUCAUAGGAUGGAAUCCAGAAGCUCUUAGCAUGGACCUAUGCCUGAAAUAGUUCAGACUGAAGUCCUGGGACCCCAGCUCUGAGUUCGACUGCUCUUUCUCUGCCCUGUACUUCUCUUUUCUUGACUCGGGGAACUGUAAAUAGGAACUGCUUUAAUGUGUAUAAUUUUGUCCCCAAAUUAGCCAUGUUUAUGAACAUGUUACUAGAAAUUUAGGAGAGUCCUACCUGAGUACAUGUCACCAGGGGAAUCCAGAGUCUGCUCAUGGAGCUCUUAAGUCCCGUGAAUAACAAAAUAGUGUAAGAACUGACUCAAAAGAAGUUCAGGGACAUUUAUUAUUAGCAUUUAACACACAUGCAUGAGUGUGCGCAUGCACGUGCACGUGCAUACACACACACACACACACACACACACACACACACA